GAUAAACGCUGGCGGCGUGCAUGAGACAUGCAAGUCGAACGAAGGAUCGGGCUUGCUCGAUCCUUAGUGGCGGACGGCUGAGUAACGCGUAGGUGACCUACCCCGAAGUGGGGAAUAACUGCCCGAAAGGGUGGCUAAUACCGCAUGUGGUCGCACGUUCAUUCGUGCGAGUAAAGCCGCAAGGCGCUUCGGGAGGGGCCUGCGUCCGAUUAGCUCGUUGGUGGGGUAAUGGCUUACCAAGGCGACGAUCGUUAGGUGGUCUGAGAGGACGAUCACCCAGACUGGGAGUGGGACACGGCCCAGACUCCUACGGGAGGCAGCAGUCGGGAAUUUUGCUCAAUGGGGGAAACCCUGAAGCAGCAACGCCGCGUGAGGGAUGAAGGCCUUCGGGUUGUAAACCUCUUUUGUCAGGGACGAUGAUGACGGUACCUGGCGAAUAAGCCACGGCUAACUACGUG
rnacentral:rRNA from 1 species